rnacentral:rRNA from 1 species
GAUAAACGCUGGCGGCGUGCAUGAGACAUGCAAGUCGAACGAAGGAUCGGGCUUGCUCGAUCCUUAGUGGCGGACGGCUGAGUAACGCGUAGGUGACCUACCCCGAAGUGGGGAAUAACUGCCCGAAAGGGUGGCUAAUACCGCAUGUGGUCGCACGUUCAUUCGUGCGAGUAAAGCCGCAAGGCGCUUCGGGAGGGGCCUGCGUCCGAUUAGCUCGUUGAUGGGGUAAUGGCUUACCAAGGCGACGAUCGGUAGGUGGUCUGAGAGGACGAUCACCCAGACUGGGACUGAGACACGGCCCAGACUCCUACGGGAGGCAGCAGUCGGGAAUUUUGCUCAAUGGGGGAAACCCUGAAGCAGCAACGCCGCGUGAGGGAUGAAGGCCUUCGGGUUGUAAACCUCUUUUGUCAGGGACGAUGAUGACGGUACCUGGCGAAUAAGCCACGGCUAACUACGUG